rnacentral:lncRNA from 1 species
AAAUGAAAGAACAGCCAUAAAUCACGUUAUACACGACAGACCAAUAAGGCCUCGAGACCAGGGGUGGGCAAGCUUUUCUGCAAAGGACCAGCUGAGCAAGUCACAAGAAAGGAAGAGACUGACGAACCAGCUCUCCUAUACCAAGUUCCUGUGACAUCUUGAGUGUCUACUGCCCGAAAGCGAAGACUUGUUAAGGGCGAAAAGGACAACCAUGGGUGAAGGAAGCGGACCCCAGGGUCGGUGUUAGAACCAACAGAGGAAAGAACAUUAAAUCAGAAUCGAGAGGUGGCCUGUGGGUCGAGGUUGCUCACGAACGCAGACUUUCACCCUGCUUUCUCCAGUCAGAAGUUUCUUUUGAUUUUGCUAUGCUUGAACGUGGUUGCAUGGGCACUUAGGGUUGCUGAUGUCAGCAAGGCCACGU